rnacentral:rRNA from 1 species
CAUGUCUUUUUGAUUAUAAUUUAAGGUUUAAUCUGCUCAAUGAGGAUUUAAAUUGCCGCGGUAUUUUGACCGUGCAAAGGUAGCAUAAUAAUUAGUUUUUUUAUUGAAAGCUGGAAUGAAUGAUUGGACGAGAAAAUUACUGUCUCUUUAUGAUUUAAUUUUAAAUUUAACUUUUGAGUUAAAAGGCUCAAAUUUAAGUUAAAGACGAGAAGACCCUAUAGAGUUUAAUAUUUCUUAAUUUAUUAUGGUUUUGGUAUUUAUUUUUUUAGAUUGAGUUUUAUUUGGUUGGGGUGACUAGAAGAUUAAUGUAACUCUUCUUUUAUUUUUAUCAAUGAUUUUUGAAUAGAUAAUCUGGUGAUUACCAAAUUUAAUAAAAAUUACCUUAGGGAUAACAGCGUAAUUUCCUUUUAGAGUUCUUAUUGGAAGGGGAGUUUGCGACCUCGAUGUUGGAUUAAAAUUUAUUUUGGGUGUAGAAGCUUGAAUAUUGAGUCUGUUCGACUUUUAAAAUUUUACAUGAUCUGAGU